GUCGUGUUCGGGUAACAAAUAUAAAACAAGCAAAUAAAAUGUGUUUCGUGUUCGGGUCGUGUUCGAACAUUGUUCGACCCGAAACAAGUUCAAAACCCAAAAACACAAAUGCUUUAGGGUUUAGACUUUAGCCCCAAAAACACGACAGUUGAACACAACUCAAGCACUGAAGGCUAAACUUGAAGCACAUACCUUGUCGGCUCCGCCUUCUUCUCCGACGAGUGCGCCUUCUCGUGGAGUCCGCUGCCGCCCUCCGAUCGACGCGCCUCCGCCUCGCCGUCGCCUUCGCCACCCCUCGCCUCCGCCUCGCCGAUGCCGAAACCCUUGCCGCCGCGUGCGGCCGACCAUCGUCGACAGCUUGGGGACUAGGUUCGCUCGGCGAUCAUGGCGCUCGCUUAUCGCCUCGUUUCCAAGUUUAGAUACUCUGUGUUUGCUUCAAUUCCUGAGUGAACUGCGGCAUAUCUCGCGAAGCUUGCUCGCAUCUCCGUGAAACCAUACUGAAGUGAGGAUCAUCCACGGGACAUGAUGGGUUCGGAGGUUGAAGUCUUCCUUGGUCCAGCUCCAUGCGGAAGGUGCCAUUCUUGAAAGGAGGCUAAAGUAUCUAAGGAGUUGCUCUUAUC